CUCUAUCUUACAGACCUGAACAGCCUGAUAAUCCAUGCCUGCUGCUCAGGUUUCCCUAAGAUGCGAGGAAUACUGUCCUGGGCUUUCCAUCUGCCUGGUGGUGGCAGCCAGGAUUGAAUGGGGAUGCAGGAAA
ensembl:snoRNA